UCAUCGAUGAUUCAGGCAGAGCCAGA
rnacentral:piRNA from 1 species